GGCUGUUGCGCUGCUGCUUUUCCCUCCCACUCCUUCAGUGCGACAGCUUCAGAGCUGAUGGAGAGACAGAGAGCACGCAACUGGAAAAAUUCAGACAUGGAAAUCAUGGAUUAAAUGGUCACCAAUUGUUUCAGCAUUGCGUAUUGAAUAAUACAACCUUCUUCCACUGCCGUGAAAUGUCAACAGCUGCUCUCCCACUAGAUAGGGCGUAGCUUUCCACAGUAAUGCGAUCUUGGGAUCUAAAGGACAGAGGGUAAGUCUCAAUACAUGCUACCACUGUCAUUCUGUCUUCAAGACGUGAAAACAUCGCUGUGGUCCAUCUCUAUUUACUGCAAGCAGAAGGGUCGAGACAGAAAACCUAGAGGCUUUUAGUAGGAGGUAAGUUAAACAGUAACAGAAGGAUUUGGCAGUUAAAAAUCACCCACUGUUCUGUUUUACCCCUUACUCCAUCCCAACUCCACCCACCCCCACCCCCUGCCUAUUGACUUCUAACCACAGCCACUGGUCUUUUCUGAUUUUGGACAGAAAAAGAGGGUGAGUAUCAGGCUGCUUUCUUCGCCUGCUGUUAUUGCAAGGGACUCUUUUUGGCUCAUAGACACAGCUCCAGUCAUUUCCUGACUUGCCAUAUUAGGCUGUGAUUUGUUUAUGACUGGAGUCUGGUUUCCCUAGCAACAGGAGCUCACCAGGGCAUGCGCAUUGGCUCAUCUGCAGUAGCAGAAUGCGGCUAUGGGGCCUUGGGAGGGAUCUUCUCCCCCCCCCACACACACACCCCCGCAGUGACUGGAAGAGGUUUUCCACAGACGUCAGUUUUUCUCUCCUUAAACUGCGACUGUUACUGCAGAUAAGCAUUGCAUUUUUUAAUCCUCAGAAAGCUUUGAGAUUUCGCCCUUGUUUUUUUUUUUUCCUAGCACAGCCACAGUCAAUCAUUUCACCAGUGACCAUGACGUUUUCCAAAUUAUUUUGGUCCCAAAUAUUUCUAGGGCCCAAAGAGAUCCUUAUGGUGUGGCUACAGGAAGCAAAUGGCCUGGUUUCAAACCUCCAUCUUUCUUGACAGUUGUAUGAAAUCCCUUACUCAUCCUGUGUCUCAGCUUCCUCAGCUGUAAAAUAGGGAUAAUAACAGCACCUUUAGAAAAGUGUUACAUAUUAACCAUUAAAAAGUAUUCUUUAUUGUUAUUUGUAGAUGUCAAAAAAUUAUCCGGCACAGACUGGUGUCUGCACUGUACAGCCCAUGCUGAGCAAGUUACAGACACAGGCAUUUACCUCCACAGAAUGCAGACACCUCGCAUAGCCCACAGAUGACCUACAGCAAUGUUGCACUGUCCUGAGGUUCAUUACUAUAUACCACAGCAAAAAGAUUUGCCCCUUAGCACAUGGACACCUUCCAUGACCUUAGGCUCUUUUAGAUUGCACACAGGUUCCCUUCAACACAGAGACCAAGCUGAAGGACAUUUAUUAGCACCACAUAGUGAGUCUUACCUCACCAUGAAGAGAUUGCCUGUAACACAGAGGAAGUUGCAACACUAUAACUCAUCUCCACAUCACACAGACUUUAUCCAGAACACACAAAAGGAUAUAGACUUAAUUCAUACAACACAUAUUCAUCCAAACACAUCUCACUUCUUCUCAGACUAUGUGAGCAUUCUUCCUAGCAAGCCUCUCUCCACAGAAAAACAGCCCCAUUAAGGUACAUACUACUCCCCGUGUGUGCUUCAGAAACUGAACUCCUGCUAGACGAAGUUCAUGCGAAACAGACUUCCCUCACAUCAUACUAACCCUUGCAAGAACACGCAGUCUUACCCACAACACAUAUCACACACAACACACAUCAUGGGAACCUUCAGCACAGAAGAGACUAUCCGCAGCACAGCAGCACUCCAUAGAAUGCAGACUUCCUCCCUGAACACAGACACACAACCUAGCUCAAAUCCCUUGCCAUGACAUGCAAGUUCCUCCAAAACACAAACUCAGCCGUCUGACAAACAUCAUUUCAUUAGAACAGAGGCUAAUUUUACAGUCUACAGUCCUACUGUGCACAUUUAGCCCAUGCAACACAGAUUAAGCUUAUGGUACAAAAGACACUACCAAUGACUCUGAGCUCUGCUCACUGUACCACAUAGCAACAGAGAAGUAUAACCCGAAGCACAUAGAUCAUGCCUUGUUAAAGAGGAUUUUAACUUAAUACAUACACAUAUCCUACAACACACGAGUUCAUCUCAUGAUGAACAUACAGUGCAAACCUACAGUGUAAACAUUUGCCACAUAGACAGUCAUUUACUCCACAUCAUCUAAAUCUCCUUCCAGAUUUGCAGAAUUACUUAGUAAGGUACUCAAUGCCACCUCUCAACUCCCAACAUGAAAGUGAUCUACAAUAUUCACACUCAUCCCACGAUACAGAUGUAAACUACACGUGAACACAUCUCAGAACACAGCAUCCCACUGCCACAAAUGCUCAGAAUUCUGUAUUAGCAAUGCAUUUCCUAUACAUCAUCAUCUUAGAAAAGCAACACUUCUUGCCACAGUUCUAGUCUAGACCCAUGCUCCCAAACAUAUGUGAACACAGUUUUUAAGUGACUCUCAUAUUUAUCACAAGUACACAGGCAAUUUCCCUGUUGUUUAUAAAACAAGAUAUGCCCAGUCUUGUAUAGACCUCUAUCAGAAUGCACAGAAUCUCCUAUUAGCAUACAUAUGUUCCUCAUCACUCACAUAAAUCCUCCCAAACAGUGACAUACACUGUUUGACACAGAUUAAGCUUAUAGUCCUAAAGACACUCUCAAAUGGCUCAGGUCACAGACUUGCCAUAUAAUACACUCAGUCACAGUAUGAGUCUUAAAAUUUAUAGAUAUACCCAUGAAUGCAUAGAUUUGUUCUAUGUUGUACAGAGUUCUAACACUUACUUUAUAAUACAAAGAACCACGUCCUAUUGUGCAGAUACAUAGUGUAUAUAUUAACUCUACUUUGCAUCAUAGAGGACAGACAUGCUUUAUCAUAUCAUUGAGCUACAAUUCUGGCCUACAGCAGAGAUACAGCCUGGUAACCAUUAAGAGCAAGGCCUCUGGACCCAGGCUUCCUGGGCUUGCCUUCCGAUCCCAUCCUUUACUAAUUGUAUCGCCACAGGUAAGUAUUUUUCUUUAUUUUUUAGUUUUCUCAUCUGUAAAACAAAGGUGACAAUAGUAGCUACUUUGAAGAAUUAUCAUGAAUAAAAUAAGAAAAGUUUAGCUUUGUUUAGUAUGGUACAGUGACUGCUACCUGAAAACUGUUAGAUUUGUUAAUUUUCAUGACAAUCACCUACAACCCCACUAUUGUUACUGAAGCAAAAGUGCUUAUUUUAAGUAUCUACAAUCAUCUAACAAUAGGGAUUCACCCCACCCCACAGUACAAAGAUUAGCCCUAGAACAUACAGAAAUCCUCUACUGCAUAUGGACAAUACUGUACAAUACCUUAUCCUCUACAGGCACCAGGCAGCACACUAAACUAGAUGUUACUCACAAUGUAAAACUUUACAGUGGGAUUAAAAAACAUAGCCAGUAAUGCAUAUGAUUACUUCAUAUGUAUACAUUGGCCUGACAAACACAGACUAUAUGCAUAAUGCCCAACUUUACCCCAUAUAGCAGAGAUCUGCAAUACAGCAUAUAUAUAUACAUAGCAUGAGCUUAUAAUUAUGUAUGUAUAAUUAUGUAUGUAUAAUUAUGUAUGGCAAAGAUCACAUUAUAUAAACAUACCUCUUCCAAAGUGUGAGGAUUUCCUUGCUGCUCACAGAUGUUUGUCUAAAUUCCCACUCCUAUAUUUAGAGCAUCACAUUUUAAUACAGAGCCUCUUAGAAAAAACACAUUUGCUCACUCAUAUUUUAUGCUCAAUUUAUAAACAAUUAUAUGUUUCAUAUCUCAUUACUUGCACAUAAAUCUGAUUUACCUUAAUGUAUUCCCAUAUACAUGAUCAUAUACCACAUAGAUUAACUUAAAAAAACAUUAAAAAUUGUGUGUGUGUGUAUGAGUAUCCUGCCUGUGUGUAUGUUUGUAUACCAUGUAUGUACCUGGUACCCACAGAGGCCAGAUGAGAACUUAAUUAAGAUUCCCUAGAUCCAGAGUUAAAGACAUUUGUUAGCUACCCUUCAGGUGCUGGGAAUCAAACAUGAGUCCUCUGCAAGACCAUCAGUGCUCUUAAUCACUGAAACUUUUCUCUAGCACCCAGGUUAGCUUUUUAAGACCUAAAAAUGUCCUAUCAAACAGAGCACUAAUGCUCUUAUAUACACCACAACUGUAUCACAUGACAACAGCUACACAAAAUCACAAUCUUUAGAUUUGGAUUUAGACAACUAAACUCACACAAAAGAAAGACAUCCUAACAGUACAAAACCCCAUCCCACUGUGCCCAAUGUAGUGCAAAGAUAAGCCUCAGCUCACAUAAGCUCAACACAGAGCACAAAACUUGAUGCCCAAAAUUUAGACCCACUCUCUAGUACAAAGCUUGAACUCAAAGCUCCAGUUGCUUAGGCUGGAAUCGUUAACAUAUCAAUAUUAUUUUUAUGACAUAGAAAGUUAUUUUGACCACUCUGCUUUUUAACAUUAUUUUUAAACAUUAUUAUCCUAAAUAAUCAUUAUUAUUUAGGAUAAUAAUGAUUCCUGUGUCAUACAGCUCUUAAGAGGAACAAGUGAGUUGUUAUAAAGCUUUUAUAACAGUACCUGGUAAAGAAUUGCUUUCAUUCAUGUUGUUGACAUUGUUACUGAUUAUUAUUAUUAUUAUUAUUAUUAUUAUUAUUAUUAUUAUUAUUAUGCACACACUGGACAAUAAUGGUAAGAUUCAACCUAAAACAACAAAAACAGCUGCCUAUACAUACACAGACACACAAUACACUCCUCCAUAAAGUAUAUAAUCUUAUCACAACUCAUACUUUGACCACUACAUCUGUAUUAACUAUGCUUAGCCUAUAACAUCUACAUGCAACUAACACACAGUGUCUUCAUAGGAUCUAUACUUACCACAUACCACUUAGGCACACAGUGAGAACAUACAUGGCAGUGCAAAAAACUAGAAGUUCAUCCAUGUAAAAGCUCAUCUAUAGAUGUACAUAUGUACAGACCAGAAUACCACAUUAGCUUUACAACUCAAAUAACUCAGCUUAAACUCCCCAAAAGAAUCCACAGCAUAUAUAUUUCUCCAAAACACAAAACUUACCACACAGCAUAAGCCUUGCUACAAUGAACAGACUAGCUUCACAAGUCACAGAACUAAGGCUUUCACUACAACACACAGAUCCUUCCUAGUAUCCAACUAUGUUGUUUAAGUGAAAUUCUGGCUUAUAUCUACAAUAAAAUGCAUCAUAAACACCAACAUAUUGGACAGCAUACAUUAACUAUCUCACAAUGCUCAUGUAGCCAUUCCAUCCAGAGAACUAAUUCACCUCACCAAGACAUUGCUUAUAUCACGAAAUUUAUUCUUGGCUGCCAUAUGUACCAUACAACAUGGAAUAGUCAGUCCCAUGUAAUCAAUAGAAUCUCAUUAUGACAUACAGAUUAGCAACACAGAAUAACUUCCUUUUAAUGUAACUUUUGUUAUAGAUGCACACUCUAUAAAAGACACAAUGCACAUGUAUGCUCUAUAGUACUCAGGUGUAAUACAGAAAAAUCAAAACAUACCCUGGAAUGACCAAAUACUCAAACUAUACAAAGUCAUUUUACUAUCACCACAUAGGCUGCCUCCACAAAAUGCACUCUUACCUCUACAAAAUCUAGUUUCACAUCUGAAGAAAAACCAAUGAAUAUGCAAAAAACUAACAAGGCACAGAAUAUUCUACUUCAACCAGAAAAUAUUCCCACAACACAUAGAAAUUGGGCAAAGGACAUAAUAGCUUAACCCCUAAUACUCAGACUUAUGUGAAACACAAAGACUGACCUGUCACACCCAGCAUGGCCCACUGUCAUCCAUACUCAGUAUGCUUACUCCACAAAACCUUGAUAUGAAUGUACAGGCAUAUCCUUUAAUUAUUCCUAAACAUGGCUGGUCUCUGAAAAUAUCUUCUUCACAAUGCAGACACAGGUACAUAGAAAGUAUGCAUAAUUCAUAGACAUGUACAAUUACUGAUGUGCUUCACAAUACUGGAAUGCUAUAACACACUUAAUACAUGCUUUUAUGAAAACAAAAUUAUCCCAUGAGAAAUGAAACUCACCUCAGGAAGACUAGAGUUUUCCUCAAAUGUCCAGGAUUUGCCCACCCCCAUAAUCUACAGACAACAUCUACUAGUCCUAAAACAUAGGCUCAUGAUAAAAAGUACCAAGAUAUAGCUGAGCAGUAGAUGAGGAUGUAGUUCAGUAGGUAGAAUUCAAGAGGCCCUGGGCUUUCUCCCCAAAACUGAAUAAAACAGUAUGGUGCACCUGUAACUGCAGCACUCCAGAGGUGGAGAGAAGAGGACUGGAAGUUCAAAGUCAUCACUUGCUACACAGCAAGUUCAAAACCAACCUGGAAUGUGUGAGAGUUUGUCUGAAAAUCAAACCAAACCAAUUAAACAAUAAGCCACAACAAUAACAACAAAAAAGCAUGGGAAAAUACACAUAAAGUGCUAUGAUGUGUAGACAUGACCUCCUCAACACUCAUGUAUCACUCUGAGACAUGCUGAUCAAUAUAGGAGAUUCAGAUCUGCUCUAUAACUUGUUUGCUAUACAUAGUCAGAAAUAUUAUAUAUUAGUCAAAUACUUCCAACCAACCAGACUUGGUCCCCUUCCUCUACAAAAUCUGGGUUCAUUCAUGUCUAGCAAUCUAGACUUUUCUUACAGAAUGAGGUAAUUGCUUACAACUUAAGCACUACUUACAACCUGCAAACUGACCACAAACCUCAGCCCUGGAAAAGUCUUACAUUUACUACAUAAGCAUUCCCCUUGAUUAAAAAUCUUCGACAACAUACCAAAAUGGCCUUCAACUAGCUUCAUGUUACAUAAAUGGUGCAAUAUUGCCAUUCUGUCUGUAAGAGAUAUGGAUAAUUUACCCUGUGAUAUCUAAUUUUCCCAUGACACCCAAACUUAUCCCUUACCAACUAAUAAGAUAACUUGCACACUGAAUAUAAGCCUGCAAAACUCAGGCUGCCCCCAUAAACCAGACAUUCAUUGUUCAUUCUAGUCUUACUACAGAGCAUGCAAACCACCCCCUCUCUAAGAUAGAAAUGUCCUCAUCUAACAAAUGUUAUUCCAAAUGCAGACAGUUAUCAAACAAAGAAAAAUUGACACUUUAACAAAAAGUUCACAUCAUAAUAAGCAGAAAGGGUUGAAACCAAACAGAAGGAUCUUACUUGAAUCUCGAUACCAGUACUCUGCAUUACAGAAAAUCACACAGCAAGAUCCAUGCUGUUCCCACAAUAUAUAGACUCAACAACCACACCUUUAUAUGCCUCAAAGACACAGAAUCUCUUCAAAACAUAUGUAUUCACUAAAAAAUAUUUGGGCCAAUCCAGCAUCCAGAUGACUACCACAAUACAUAAAUACUGACACAUAUAAAAGAAUCCUAUAAACAAACUGCAUAGAUAUGCUUCACUACUGGAAGGUUUAUUGGUAGACUUGUUGCAGACUCUUACGCCACCCAGACCUUAGGCAAGAAUCUGUAGUCACUCUCAGUCAUAAAGACAAAAACAAGCAUAACUGGUGAGGGUGAGAGAGAACAGUAGUCAAUCAUUAAUGCAGAGCCCAAUGGCAUGAGGUUGGCCAAUUAUUAAUGCAGAGAAAGGAAAGAAUGGACCUCCAUAAAUUGUCCUCUGAUCUUCACAUAUACACUGUGACAUGUUUUUGUCCCCUUCCACUAAAAUAAAUGGUUUGAAGAAAUACUUAACCAGAAGCACUUAAACAUGGAUGCCACAUGAGAUUAUCCAUGAAACCUAGAAUUGCCUUACAAUAUCCAGACUAUACUCUCUAAACAAGCUCUUACCUUCACUACACCAAAGCCAACAUUUUAAGACACAUAUAGUGAGCAACACACACAAGCCACAUAACAGAGAUUAUCCAUGAAACCUAGAAUUGCCUUACAAUAUCCAGACUUAUAUAGUAUCAUUCUGAUUUAUUCAACAAUACUGCUCCAUAUACAGAAAUGAAUCAAAAUGUAGAAGCAUUUAUAAGAUACAUGCUGCAACAUAGGGUGUGCUCCACAAGUUAGACUUUAUAUGAGGAUAACACUUGUCCCAAGAAAGCAGAGAGCCUCUGGGUACCUGGCAGUGAAACAUAAGACAAAGAUACACCUGACAAUGCCCAGACUUUCUGUGUAACUUCCACAUUGGCCUUUGAUAACACACAUAUCUUUGAAACCACUCACCAUGGCCUAAGAACAUACAGGUAUACCCAUAUAUUAUAACACAUGGGUACACUUAGAAUAUAUAUCCACUCUACACAACAUGGGCUAGCCCCCACCGACUUUCCCUGUAAAAUACUCAUAAACAGCAAGCCAUGUGUCUAUCUCACCUAAUAAAGGUCAACCCCUACAUGCUCUUAUUAUAUGAUUCGCAAAUUUAUACUGAACACCCAUGCUCAGAAAACAUAAAUGUAACCCAUUAUAAACACAGUAUAAGUGAAUUUUUCUUCCUUUCAUACUAAUUCAUGAGUCACACUUAUUUUAUUAACACCUAAACAUACUUUUAUAGGCAAUAUUCAACUAAAUGAGAAUCUUGCAAUACUACAUUACUUUCCCUACACCAUGGAGAAAUGUGACACACCACUCCAAAUUGCACACAAUCUGUAGUAUACAGUUUCUAAAUGUUCUGUGUAUAUCUUAUAAUACAGUCUCAAAAUACAGAUUCCUUAGAAUCAUUUAGUGUAGCAUAGCAUAUCAACUUAGAAACACUUCUCGAAGCAUACACUAUAGCAAGCAGGCACACAGCAUGUAUUCCUGUCUUCAAACAUACAGAUUUGCCUUCCCAUACCAAUUUUUGGCUAGCAGUUCUAAGAUAUUUCACACAAAACCCACUCGCUAGAUGAGCAUGUAGCUCAGUGGUAUAGCACUUCUUGUGACUUGUAUAUACAAAGGCUCUAAGUUCCCUCACCAGUACUUCAAACCAAACCAUAACAAUAGCAAACUCCAAACAGAAU